rnacentral:lncRNA from 1 species
UUGUUGACGUUUGAUAUUUCACCAUCCAACUAAAGCUUCUCUAUAAUUAGAUGGUAAGUAUAUAAUUGAUUGCGAAAAGAAGCCUUGUAUAUCAAUUUGACAGUGUGUGUUUUUUCCCCUCAACAAAGUGUGAUAGAAUUGACAUGUGGGACUAAUAUUACAUGGACAUAGAUGUAAAAUUCUGUUGAAAUAACUAUUUUCA